UAUCCCGCGCUGCGCACCACUUCCUCCUCGCACGUUCGCACGCACAGGAGCGCUCCAUCCCCAACCUCCCUCCUCUCCCGCUCGGCGCCGCCCCCUCGCCCGCCCCUCGCCUCGACCCGCCGCAGCUUCAGCGAAGCCACCACCAUCGCCUCGGCCCACCGCAUCUUCAUCGACGCCGCCCCUCACAUCUCCGUGUCGCCCCCACCCCACCCAUCGCCUCGCCGGGCCUCGGCCGUCGGGGGCGCCGCCUAGACCGCCUGGCCGGCCUUCGGGGACGCCGCCCGGUGAUUGCUGGCUCAACAUGUGUGCCGACGCGGCACCACGGGUCUGCCGUCUCCAAGCCUUCCUGACGCGGCGGCCCUUGGGGCGAGGGACGAAGGAGCCUCGCCAUAGCUUCGUCCUCUUGUUCGUCCUCUCAUCCUGCACCAUCCUGUGGCCGUCACGCAUGUAGCCGCCGUCCACCACACCGGCACCGCCAUCUAAUGUGCAGGUACGGCGAACAACCCCAUAUCCGUCCUAAUCCUUUUUUUCUGCCCUCACAUGGAUGCGCAAAGGUAGAGAUUAGAGAGCGUGCACUUGCAAGCUUUUCGUCUAGAAAAAUGUCUCAGAAUCAACUGAUUCAUGGUGUUACUGUCCAUAUUACUGUCUCACUGAAACUUACACUCCUUGAUUCAAUGCCGCACCCCGGAGCUGCCGCCUCCACCGGGGACAUGGACACAUGCAGGGCGACCGCUGGCGAACGAUGCCGUACAUGCCAUCGCGCCUCUGCGCUGCUGCACCGCGGGCGCACAGGGGGAUGUCCAUAUCAGUUAGCGGAUGCAACCGUGGGUCAAGUCAAUUGAUCUUUGGUGGUGUGGGAAGAUGCCGGGGCGCUGGACUCGGCGGGCGCGGCCACUCCCGCAUACCCGGUUGUGGGCUAGGACGCGGACUCGGCUGCCGCUCCCGACGAAGAGGGAUAUACCGCCGCUGGCCGGGCAAUGUGGUUUUAUUUCCGGGUCCUAGGGAUUUUACAAGAAGUUGUUUGUCCAUGCUGAUUUCCGUCGGAUGCACAUAUUUCAGAGGACAGUACUCUUCUUAUGGUUCUACUUGCAGGGAUCCCCGUGCAUUGAGGGCACCGAGUCAAUGGAGUUGUGUGCGGCCACGACAACAACACGCAUAAGGUUUUCUAGGCAAGUUUAAGAGGGGUUCCUUGAAGUUAUAGGCACAUCUUUUAAGAAAUCUUGUCAGAGGAAGAGACGACAGUCUUUAGAGAAUUUGAAUCAUAGGAUAUUGAUAAAUAGAGGGAUAAUUAAUCUUGAGGUACUAAGGGCUGGAUUAUAGAAGUUUGGUACCAAAUUUACCCAAUUAGAAAUAACAGUUGAUGGAGCUGGUUGCUGUGAUAUUUUGAGCAGAACGGAAAAGAUUUGGUGCGGAUCUGAAUGUGCUGAUGAAAUUACGGUCCAAUAGAGGAACCAAUGUGCUCCUGGUCUGAUCAAUAAUUGUGAAGAUCUUUUUUGGGUGGUCAUUCAUGGGAUGGACUUCACCUUCAGGUCAAUGGUCUACUUUCUAGCAUGAAGCAGAGGAUUAUAACUACCGGGAAGCAUAGGAUGUUGUUCAUGAAUUCGACAGUAAUUUUGCCAAUUAAUAAGAGAAAAGAGGGAGAAGAAAAAUGUAUGACACAAGAAGAGAUACCUCUACAAGCAAUGGAAAUAGCUAGAAAGAGGAUGUUGAUUGGUGAAGGAGUUCUUGCAACUAGCAAGGUAUUCUGCUUAUAACCUGAUUGUGAACUUUCUUCAAAGAUCAUCACUCAAAGUGAAGCAUAUUCAACAACUCUCCUAGGAAGUUCUCUUCUGUUCCUUUCAUAUUUUAUAUCUACUGGUAGCAUGGCGGUUAUAGCUCUCAUGUGUAUGGACUACUAUUGAUGGCUAUCCUUGCUUUUCUUCAUGGUUUCGUAUUAAAAUUGUUGUGUAACUGUUUCAUCUUUCACUACAAACAUUGCCUUUUUCAAAUCCAGUGAGCAUUCAUGUAAAACAGUGGCCACUCACAUCAGUGGAGUAAAUUAUGUAAGAUAAGCUACAUUGUCUAUAACCUACUUUCAUUUCAGAUGAAACAUGUCCUUUUUGACAGUGGCAAAGCCACAUGUAAGCUGGGUAGUCAAAUGACUACCCAGAUUUUUGAUAAAAUCAAUGUAUACAUGUAUACAUGUUGCAAAAAAUAAA